UUAAACCUAUCAUGUCUAAAAUCUUUGGUGGCAUUACCUGAAUCCAUUGGGAGCCUUCAAAACUUGCGUAUUCUGAACCUUUCUUGGUGCUAUUCCCUACUAUCAUUACCCUCAUCGUUAUGUCACCUCAAAAACCUGCAUAGGUGCUCUUCUCUAGAAUCGUUACCCUCAUCGUUAUGUCACCUCAAAAACCUGCAUCACUUAAACCUAUCGUGUCUAAAUUCUUUGGUGGCAUUACCUGAAUCCAUUGGGAGCCUUCAAAACUUGCAUAUUCUGAACGUUUCUGAAUGCUCGUCUCUAGAAUCAUUACCCUCAUCGUCAAGUGAUCUUCAGCAUUUAGAGAAACUCGACAUCCGUGAUUGUGGAAAAUUAUGUGAGCUGCCUAAAAUGAUCCAAAAGCUGACCAAACUUAGAGUCUUGUUAAACAACAAUUGCUCGGAAUUGAAGGGCAUGCCCCGAGGGAUCGGCAAGUUAGUUAGCUUGCAGGAAUUGUCCGUUUUUGUCGUCGGCAAGCAAGACCGCGUCGAACAUUGUGCCAGCAUCUCUGAGCUAGAGCACUUGAAGCUUGUCGGCCAGCUGCGGAUCAAGGGUCUCGAGAAUGUGACGAGUCCGGUUGAUGCCAAGGCUGCAAAUUUGAUAGAGAAGAACCUGCGGUCUUUGAAGUUGGAAUGGAACGUUUUAAGCGCAGAAGAAGCCGUGUUAGAAAAUCUUCAACCACAUCAAAAGCUAGAGAAUUUGGAAAUAGGAGGCUAUGGAGGCGGGAAGUUUCCUAGCUGGAUGAUGAACAGGAUUGGCUCGUGCCUCCCAAAUCUCGUUAAAAUCAAACUAGCGAAUAUGCCCGGAUGCAGCUCACUUCCGCAGCUGGGGCAACUUCCUUUUCUUGAAGAACUGACUAUACGAAACAUGCCCGCGGUAACAAAUUUGGGCGUAGAUAAGUUCCCUGCGCUGACGACACUUGAGUUGUCCUCCAUGCCGGAGCUGCGAGAAUGGGUGACUGUGUUGACGGUGGAUGACGAAGAAGGCAGGCGAGAGCGAGUUCCCAUUUUUCCGCGUCUCACUCAAUUGUGGCUUAAAGGAUGUCCUCAAUUGAGGCCGGAGCCUUGCGUCCCGCCAUCGGUUAAGUAUCUGACCAUUUCUAGAGCAAGCAAGGAGAAUCUAUCGUUGAUACUCGAACGCGCGAUGCCAUUUGGAGGCGGUGAUGCCGCCGUUUCACCCCAACCGCCACCAGAUAAGGGGCUGCGGGAUCUAGUAAUAAACGAAUGUCAGCAGCUUACCUGUUUGCCCGAGAGCUUGCGGGGUCUCACGUCCCUCCAGCGGCUGAGAAUAUCUGAUUGUGAAGAUCUUGAGAGAAUUGAAGAUUGGCUCGGGGAGCUCUCCGACCUGCAGUCCUUGGAGAUCUGGGAGUGCAGCAGUCUCCGUUACUUGCCUGCGCACAAGAUGACCACACUUCAGGAGUUAGAUAUUAACAAGUGCCCCCUGUUGUUCGAUGCGGACGGACGAUUUGUCGACACCAGUGUCGAUCACAUCAAAAAUGUCGAAGUUGAUGGGAGGUAAUUAAUUUGGAACUCUGACUACUCUUUAAUUAAUGAGCUAGCACCUUAAUAUUCUAUUGUAGCUAGCAUGAACAUCUCGGUUUUUUUUUUNCUCUGCAACUUGCAAGCCUUGAAUCUUUCAGGCUGCCGUGAGAUCCGUACAUUACCCAAAUUUCUAGGAAGGCUUACGAAUUUGCGGAUUUUAGAUUUAAGGGAUUGCCCAUCUCUGACAAUACCUGACUCCAUUAGCAACCUGCAGAAUUUGUAUGCACUAAAUUUGAGUUUGUGCAAAAACGUGAUAUCACUUGAACCUAUAUGUCACCUCAAAAACCUGCAUUACCUAGACCUAUCAUAUCUAGAUUCUUUGGUGGCAUUACCUGAAUCCAUUGGAAGCCUUCAAAAUUUGCGUGGUCUCAACCUUUCUAGCUGCUCUUCUCUAGAAUGGUUACCCUCAUCAUUAUGUCACCUCAAAAACCUGCAUCUCUUAAACCUAUCAAAUCUAGAAUCUUUGGUGGCAUUACCUGAAUGCAUUGGGAGCCUUCAAAACUUGCGUAUUUUGAGCCUUUUUGGCUGCUCUUCUCUAAAAUCAUUACCCUCAUCAUUAUGUGAUCUCAAAAACCUGCAUGACUUAAACCUAUCACGUCUAAAAUCUUUGGUGGCAUUACCUGAAUCCAUUGGGAGCCUUCAAAACUUGCGUAUUCUGAAUGUUUCUAAAUGCUAUUCUCUACUAUCGUUACCCUCAUCGUCAAGUGAUCUUCAGCAUUUAGAGAAACUCGACAUCAGUGGUUGUAAAAAAUUAUGUGAGCUGCCUAAA
rnacentral:lncRNA from 1 species